GCAAUGCCGCGUGGAGGUAGAAGGCCCACGGGGCUUGUAAACCUCUUUCCCCGAGAGCGCGAUCAUGACAAGACUCGAGGAAGAAGCCCCGGCUAACUCCGUGCCAGCAGCCGCGGUAAGACGGGGGGGGCAAGUGUUCUUCGGAAUGACUGGGCGUAAAGGGCACGUAGGCCGUUCAUCGGGUGGAAAGUGAAAGUCGCCAAAAAGUGGCGGAAUGCUCUCGAAACCAAUGCACUUGAGUGAGACAGAGGAGAGUGGAAUUUCGUGUGUAGGGGUGAAAUCCUGAGAUCUACGAAGGAAGGCCAAAAGCGAAGGCAGCUCUCUGGGUCCCUACUGACGCUGAGGUGCGAAAGCAUGGGGAGCGAACAGGAUUAGAUACCCUGGUAGUCCAUGCCGUAAACUAGGAGUGUUCGCCCUUGGUCUAGGCAGAUCAGGGGCCCAGCUAACGCGUGAAACACUCCGCCUGGGGAGUACGUUCGCAAGAAUGAAACUCAAAGGAAUUGACGGGGGCCUGCACAAGCGGUGGAGCAUGUGGUUUAAUUCGAUACUACGCGCAAAACCUUACCAGCCCUUGACAUAUGAACAAGA
rnacentral:rRNA from 1 species